UACGAAGGGGGCUAGCGUUGCUCGGAUUUACUGGGCGUAAAGGGCGCGUAGGCGGACAGUUAAGUCGGGGGUGAAAGCCCGGGGCUCAACCUCGGAAUUGCCUUCGAUACUGGCUGUCUUGAGUGUGAGAGAGGUGUGUGGAACUCCGAGUGUAGAGGUGAAAUUCGUAGAUAUUGGGAAGAACACCGGUGGCGAAGGCGGCUCACUGGCUCGUAACUGACGCUCAUGCACGACAGCGUGGGGAUCAAACAGG
rnacentral:rRNA from 1 species